rnacentral:rRNA from 1 species
UUCGCAAUGCCCGAAAGGGUGACGAAGCGACGCCGCGUGGGUGAGGAAGGCCUUCGGGUUGUAAAGCCCUGUCAGGAGUUAAGAAAUGUAGACUCGCUAAUAUCGGGUCUAUUUGACAAAGACUCCAAAGGAAGCCACGGCUAACUCUGUGCCAGCAGCCGCGGUAAUACAGAGGUGGCGAGCGUUGUUCGGAAUUAUUGGGCGUAAAGAGCACGUAGGUGGAUUUGUAAGUCAGACGUGAAAGCCUUCUGUUCAACGGAAGAAUUGCAUCUGAAACUACAAACCUUGAGUGUAGGAGGGGAGAAUGGAACUUCUGGUGGAGCGGUGAAAUGCGUAGAUAUCAGAAGGAUCGCCGGCGGCGAAAGCGAUUCCCUGGCCUAUUACUGACACUCAGUGUGCGAAAGCUAGGGGAGCAAACGGGAUUAGAUACCCCGGUAGUCCUAGCCGUAAACGAUGGGCACUAAGUAGAGGGGUUUU